rnacentral:snRNA from 1 species
GGAUGUGAGGGCGAUCUGGCUGCGACAUCUGUCACCCCAUUGAUCGCCAGGGUUGAUUCGGUUGAUCUGGCUGGCUAGGCGGGUGUCCCCUUCCUCUCUCACCGCUCCAUGUGCGUCCCUCCCAAAGCUGCGCGCUCGGUCGAAGAGGACGACCAUCCCUGAUAGAGGAGGACCGUUCUUCGGUCAAGGGUAUACGAGUAGCUGCGCUCCCCUGCUAGAACCUCCAAACAAGCUCUCAAGAAACAUUAUAAUCACAUAAUUAAUCUCUAGGAAAUGUUUAAAAAGCAUUAUUAAGAUUUUUCUUAGUAAAAUAUGGUUU